rnacentral:misc_RNA from 1 species
AAGGAAUUAACACUAUAAAUAAAAGUAAGGUGAAAAUGUUAUUUGGUUUUGUCCAUUAAAGAGAGUGAUUUCGCCUAUUGAGAGUGGCUUUUGCCAUGAAGAGUGGCCUUUGCUUAUUGAUGAGGGGCUUUGCCCAUUAUAGUCAUGGAGGAAAAGAGACUUCAGCUUAAGGUGGAAAAAAAAUAUAAAAUUUAAGAGAAAAUAAUUCUUAUCCAUUGAUAAGAAGGCUCUUGUUAUGUAGUUGAAGACAUCUUUGUGGUAUAGUAGUUAAAAUGAUAAAUAUAUUAGGUUAUGUCUAGA